GAAAAACAAACGGUACAAGAGAGAAAAACCACAGAAAUCGCCGUCGGAAUCGAGAGGCGGAGACCGUAGUUAGAUAGCUCAAACUCGCAACGUUAAUUAGUUGCUCUGCUUUGGCAUGAAUCCAUCUUUGUAGAUUUCAUGGAUGCACCUUAAGGACUACAAGAUUCAUGUGAACUAAGCUUGAUUCAAAAGAUGAGCAAUGAACAUUUCCUUCUUGAAUUCUGCUGUUUGGUGCCAUCGUCUUCAGGAGUUGCUCUUCUUAAGUGUAUCAAUAAAUCUUUGCUGUACACAGUCAUUGCUUGAGAUGUAGUCAAGAAAAUCGUUGAAACUAAACUCCCCAUAGGCUGGUGCAUUGUUUCCAACGAGCUCAGGUGCUGGACUUAUCCUCUUGUGCAGAGCUGAACUAUCAAAGCUCCUUCAAUAUACGGCACACUGAUCCAGUUUUUGUUGGAGUCCAUUAUCUGGAGUCCCUGGCUACUUUGAAGUAAGAUGGUCAGCGAGCCGAAGUCCGAGUGUGGUGGCAUUCCCAAGGUGAUUUCAGGUUCAGGACAUGCUGGGUAACAGUUCACUGCCAUGACUUGUGAGCCUUCUUCAGUUUGUUCUUCAUGGAGGAUUUGAUGGCCACAUAUCAAUCCACUUUGAUAGAGGAUAAGAGUAAUGUUUAAUGAAAUCUCUCCAAUAAUGAACUCUGUCUGUUGAAUGGUUGAGGCUUGUGCCAUAUCUUACUGGCUGAUGAACAUCUGCAGACACUAGAAGCAUCUUAUCUUCCACAGGUAAGUCAAAGAACUGUGUUGCUGCAUCUAAGGCAUCUCUAACCACUGAUGGUGGUAUCCCAUGGUUUAUAACCUGUAGAGAAAUAAAAGUUAGGGCUUAUAUCUUUUUUGUGUAAGAAUAAGUAAGAAAAACAUGCAUGCAUGCAAUUGGUUUUCUCAUUUAAGACUUAGAUUGAAGAUUUUGUCUUUUCUUUUCUAUCUUUCAUGAUUAAGGACUUUGUUCAUGACAUACAUGCAAGAAGACAACAACCGUCUUUCUAAGUCAUAUAACGUGUAAGAACAUCAAACUUGCUGAAUUUGUGAUAACGCAUAUAUAACUUAUUUACAUGUAACAAUUACCUGAAAGAAACCAAAUUCCUUGCAGGCCAUGUUGAUCUCUUGGAUAACGCUGGACCUAAGCAAAGGUUCGUGUAAAAGAGAGAGAUCAAUGAUAGGAAGUGUUAUCUCUCUGGUACCUAAGCUUGAACCAAGAGCUGGCCUUUGCGAUGGCGGAAGAACGUAACGGUCAGGCACUUGAGGCACACCUGAAUUGGUAAGUGUCAUUGCACUUUCAAAAGAAUCAUCAAGCAAACUCUUUAUUGUUUCCUCCAUGUUCAGUUUGCUUAGAGUAAAAAAGAAUGAUGUUAUUACUCUGACUUACUAAAGAGUAUGCAACAUGCAUAGCGUCUAUUUAUACAUGUAUUUUAUACGGUUAAAAUCUUCUAGAAGAUAAUUAUAUUUAAUUAUCCACUGAAAGUAACAUUUUAUUCUUUUCUUUUUCCUCAUUUGCUUACGAUUUUGGAAACCCACCUGCUGCUUCUCUCAUCAUCUCUACAUUAAAUGAAGUGAGAGAUGUCAAAUUCUGGAUGUCAAUUUAAAAGUAAAUUGCAUGUAGAGAUAUGUAUCUAUAAUAUGACGACUUAGAUUGCAUCUUUUUGCUUUUUUUAAAAAAAAAUUUGUUUAAUACAUAUGAGUCAUAUGGUGGAGUAUAGGCACACAAUAACCGGUUUUUCUUUGCAUGACCAGCUUGACAAUUCGUUUUGCAUGUGGUAUGUCUUCACUGAAUUUACCGCCUUUCAUAAAUGUUUGGGAUAUUUUGGUUUCUAUUUUUAAGAUGUGUGUGUGUGUGUGUGGGUGUGUGUGUUGACGUCAUUGAUGAGGGUGAAUAUCGGUCGAGAUACAUGGACCAAGACUAAAUAAGGAUGAUGUAGACUACAUCAUGUAGUAUAAUAUUAGAUUGAUAUAUAGGUAACUAAACUAAGGUUUUAGGUACAUGCAUGCCGAAAUGUAUCUGUACAAGAUCUAUGAGUUGGUUUUUCCUCAGGUCGAAGAAAGUAGCUAAAACAUACGUAAGUUGAGUUCCUGUAGCGUUGGAGGAGAGAGAGAGAGAGAGAGUAGUGACAGCAUUCCUCUCACUUGAUUCAAAACUCUAUUAAGUGCUUACGCAGUUUAUUCUUUUAAGUCGGCUAGAAAAGCCUAGUUAUGUGCCGUUAAGAGCCGCUCAUAAUCCAAGUUAUGUGUCAUUCAUAGGAGUACGUCAUGCAUGGUUGUCUCCUAAUCAUCUUUAGAACGUAAGCCACUGUUCUCCUAGUGAUCAUGUCCAUCGUCCCAGCAGCGGUCGCUGUGACAUACACGGUCGGAGACGUUAAUGGAUGGACCAGUGGUGUGGACUACACAGUUUGGCUUACCGGAAACACUUUCAGAGUUGGUGACAUUAUAGAGUUCAAGUACGGUCCUUCGCACUCGGUGGAUGUGACUAACAAAGCCGGAUACGAUGACUGUGAUAGCUCCGCAUCCACCGAGAAUCACUCCGACGGGGACACCAAAAUCGAACUCAAGACUGUAGGAA